rnacentral:lncRNA from 1 species
UGCAGUAUUACAGCUGAAGGAUCUUGGUGCUUCAAGUUGAAUUUGGAUGCAAGAGAUAGAUGAGUGAAGAGCAUGGAUAUGUUCUUCUGAUACAUGCUGCUGAUACUUAGCUGAAGUGAAGUGUCACGGUGGAUGGAAGACCAUGGUGGAAAGCAAAAAAUCUGCUAUAAAACGCCAUGGCGCCCCAUCAUUCACAAAUUGGCCAUAGUGGUUGUCAAAAAAUCCACCAUGGCCGAUAUUUGAGAAAACAAGAAGUGAUACAGAGGAACGGGCACAAACUUUUUAGCCACAGGGACGUCAGAAACUUGUCCAAGCUUUGGUUUGACAGAAUACGCUUUGAAUUUAAGUUUCAACUAUUGGUGUAAGCCCUAGAGGCCAAUAGUUUAUGUUAAACUUAUGCUAUGUAUCAUGACGUUUAUUAUUAAAUAAAGUAUGGCAUUCUUUAUUAUACUUGUUGUAAAGAUUAAUAAAGUCCCUAGGAUAGAUAGUUCAUGUGAUGAAACAUUAAGUGAGACUUAAUCGUGAGAUUACAUUAACUUAAGAACACUAUUCUUAAAAGUAUCCGUAGUCAAGCUUUAGUAUGAAGUGGGAUAAUAAUAAAGCGUAGAGGCUAUUAUGUAUGUAGACUGAUGUGACCACAUCUCACGGGUCAUGAAUAUGAGAUAUUAAGUCUAUACAUAGGUAUAAAUAAUAGGAGUAAUAUUUAUACUGGAUUGACCCAACAUGAGAGUACUACAUAGUAUGUUAUGAAAGUGUCAUAAGAUACUCUCAUAGUGAUAAUAGUGUAUAUCACUCUUAGACCUGAAACCACUAUGAUCCCUAGAUGUGGACUUAAAUGUUUUAUUGCCGCUCAAACGUUAUCUGUAACAGGAUAAUUAUAACGUCGGUUAAU